UAUUCCUUCAUCUUUCUGUGUUAAUUGCCUUUCCUUUCUUCUUUCCUUCUCUUCAACCUCAAGCGAUCUCAAAUUCGCUGCCUUUACUUUCUCCCAUUCCCAUAUAAAUUCAUUAUUAGAAGUAGAAGAAGACAAAAUUAAGUUCUUAAGAUAACUAAUUAAGUUCGUCCAUUAAUGGCAAUGGGAAUCAUGUCUGUCACAGUACCAGCAGUUGUUGCUGCAGCUGGGAUUUAUUUUUUCGAUAGAACUCAUCCAAUAACUCAGGAAAUUGGAAAUGGAAGGCAAGCUUCUAUAGGAAGAAUGAUAGCAAAAGUGACUGAAGAAGGGAAGAAUAGUUCUACAAAACCGAAAUUAGCUCCUCAAUUUGAUGGCUUGUAUUGUUUCGAAACAUUAGUAGGUCAUUGAUGGUGGUGGUAGUUUGAUUUAUUAUCUAUUUAUUUAUUUAUGUCUAAUUAUUUAAUUCAAUUUAUUUUUUUUUUA